ACCUCUUUGAAUGUUUCACAUUUUUAAAAUGUAGGACAACCAUUUAAGUUUGGGGAGGGGGUGAGAUUGGUACGAGUGAUGAUGUAGGUUAAACACCUAGCUUGGAGGUGCAAUAUUAUGUAAAUGUCAAAAAGCCUAAGUUUGGGGGAGAUCUUAAAUUGAAUAAUGUGUGGUGAAUGUCUAAGUGUCUCUAAAAUGGGAAAGAAAGAAAAGAAGAAAUAGAAAAUAGAAAAUUUCACCUUUGAAUAUGAAAGAAAAGAGUAUGUGAGAGAGAGACCGAAAGAAAAAGGGUGAAUGAGAAAUAAAGGUGAGAACUACCGGAUGUUUGAAAAGGUGAAAAGGGUGGAAAUUGUGAAAGAAAUAGGCCUAAGAAAGUAAUGGCAUGGGAGUGUUUAGGGAGGUUUGCAGUCGCUUGUUCCCACAAAAAAAUUCCCUUCCUUAACCUAAGCGCUCAUCAAUGCCCGCAAGUCCUAGGAGAUUUUGAGCCUUGUAGAUCUACAUUAGUGGCGAAUUUUCUACUUGAUUGUACGUAAACCUCUUUGUGAGAGUUAGUGUUUAUUUUUUUAUCUUUGUGUCCCUUGUUACUUUGCUUUACAGUGUGUGAAUAGGAUCAAGUCUUGUUUGUGAGUGACACUUACACCGGAAUGAUGUCCUACACUCAAUUAGAGGAACUGAGGUAUAAGUUAUGAAGUGAACCUGAGGU
rnacentral:lncRNA from 1 species